GAUGAAGAACGCAGCGAAAUGCGAUACGUAAUGUGAAUUGCAGAAUUCAGUGAAUCAUCGAAUCUUUGAACGCACAUUGCGCCCGCUGGUAUUCCGGCGGGCAUGCCUGUUCGAGCGUCAUUUCAACCCUCAAGCCCCCGGGUUUGGUGUUGGGGAUCGGCUCUGCCUUCUGGCGGUGCCGCCCCCGAAAUACAUUGGCGGUCUCGCUGCAGCCUCCAUUGCGUAGUAGCUAACACCUCGCAACUGGAACGCGGCGCGGCCAUGCCGUAAAACCCCAACUUCUGAAUGUUGACCUCGGAUCAGGUAGGAAUACCCGCUGAACUUAAGCAUAUCAAUAAGCGGAGGA
rnacentral:misc_RNA from 1 species